UCUUCAUUUCUCGUACUCUCUCACCGGUCAGCGAGACGAGAGAGCACUCGAAAUGAAGAAA
rnacentral:pre_miRNA from 1 species